GUUUUAGAUUUCUCCAUGCUGCAAACCACCUGAUUUAGAUUGAUGAGUAAUUAACAGGCUUCCAGGAGAUGAAGCAACUUGAACAUGGUUCUGCUGUAUAUUAUCAACCCAAUGUAUGAUGGGAAUAUGACAGGAGCUGCUCUGAAGCUGUCAAGAUCCCAACCUGUGACUCCUGGAAGAGACCCUUCAGCUAGCUGUCAGCACAGGUUAGUUUUUUGGCAACGGUCACAACGAAACCCUCUGGGACAUGAGGACAGAAAAAUUCGACCAAAUGGGGACAGACCCAAACCCUAACCCAGAUGGAUGGAUCUUGUUUUUGACCGGAAAACAAUGGCCUGUCUCCCCAUUCUUUUUGUCUAUUCAGCUGCCUGUCUGGAGCAGUGACUGGUUCUUCCUCAUUUGCUCCACUCAUAUCCAGAAGGUUGACAUCGCCGAGCAGCCUCCACCAUCUCCGCUCUCCUAGCUCUCUGCCACUGCUAGUUUUGUUGCUCAAGCUUUUUAAUUAAAACUCUGGGUCUCAGUUGA